GACGAACGCUGGCGGCGUGCCUAAUACAUGCAAGUAGAACGCUGAAGGAGGAGCUUGCUCUUCUGGAUGAGUUGCGAACGGGUGAGUAACGCGUAGGUAACCUGCCUGGUAGCGGGGGAUAACUAUUGGAAACGAUAGCUAAUACCGCAUAACAGUAGAUGUUGCAUGACAUUUGCUUAAAAGGUGCAAUUGCACCACUACCAGAUGGACCUGCGUUGUAUUAGCUAGUUGGUGGGGUAACGGCUCACCAAGGCGACGAUACAUAGCCGACCUGAGAGGGUGAUCGGCCACACUGGGACUGAGACACGGCCCAGACUCCUACGGGAGGCAGCAGUAGGGAAUCUUCGGCAAUGGACGGAAGUCUGACCGAGCAACGCCGCGCGAGUGAAGAAGGUUUUCGGAUCGUAAAGCUCUGUUGUAAGAGAAGAACGAGUGUGAGAGUGGAAAGUUCACACUGUGACGGUAUCUUACCAGAAAGGGACGGCUAACUACGUG
rnacentral:rRNA from 1 species